rnacentral:rRNA from 1 species
CCAUGAGUACAGUGGCGACCGGGUGAGUAACACGUGACUAACCUACCUUCGAGUGGGGGAUAACCUCGGGAAACCGAGGCUAAUACCGCAUAACAUCGAGAGAUCAAAGGAGCAAUUCGCUUGAAGAGGGGGUCGCGGCUGAUUAGCUAGUUGGCGGGGUAACGGCCCACCAAGGCGAAGAUCGGUAGCCGGCCUGAGAGGGCGCACGGCCACACUGGAACUGAAACACGGUCCAG